GAGGACAGAGCAAAAAGGCAGGCAUCUAUGAACCAAGAAACAGACUCUCUUUCACCAGACACCUAAUCUGCUGGCAUCUUGGUCUUGGACUUCCAGCCUCCAAAACUGGAGAAGAGAAAGCAAGCAACCAAUUGCACAAUUCAUUAUUAAUUAAAAUGUUGAUGGAUGCAACAAAGGUGUUCCUGUAUUAUUGGUGAAAGAAGAGUAAUGGAAACUCCAACAAGAAGAUAAAAUGGCAAACAGCAUAUCAACUGUGUUGACUGAGAACACAGCACUACACAUCGAGUAAGAGUUCAUUACAUAUUGAAUUAAUGGGGAAAAGUGUUCAGAGUUUUAGGAUUUGGUUCUAUGCAGUGUGCACUCAGUUAUACCAGGUUUAGUGAGGCUGAAAGAGAAAUCAAGUUUCGGAGGAACUAAAUUAUUUCUGUAAUAAAGAGAGCAGUAGUGUGUACCCAUUUGGCAGGGAGGGUUACUAUUAAUGCAUUUCAUCCAUUUAAGAGAAAUCUAUUAAUAAAACAUUAUGGUUCAGGCAA